UUUUGAUCGAAAAAAAAUAUCAUAAAACCAACAUAUAAUCUGUGAUCCCAAACAAGCAGAUACAACAAGUACAAACCUCGCAGUUAGCUACCAAAUACUUAGAGAGUUGGUGAUCAUGGAGGUCAUAACUCUUACGAGCUUAAGCAAACAUAAUCCAAGAUCAUAACAUUGCGUCACAAAAUGAUAUAAUUGUCAUGAGGAAACUGUACCCGACCCUACAAAUUGGGUCCAAAGACUGCUGGGAAAAUUCAGAAACAAUCACUAUCUGAUACCAUAACUAAAAUGAUCUAUUACAAUGUUGAGUCACCGGAGACGCAUCAUCGGCAAACACUAUCCGAUACCAUACUUAAAAUGAUCUAUUACAUUGUUGCGUUACUGGAGACACAUCAUUGGCUGCCCUUCUCCUUUCAGGUGCUGAUUUGAAUUAACCAGCUACCCUCCUUGCUGCCAUAGAUUCUAGUGGCCAUACUUUUGGA
rnacentral:misc_RNA from 1 species